rnacentral:tRNA from 1 species
GGUGGCUCAUUGGUAGAGCAUCUGCUUGGCAUUGAGAAGGUCCUGGGUUCAAUCUCCAGCAUCUCCA